rnacentral:rRNA from 1 species
UACGAAGGGGGCUAGCGUUGCUCGGAAUCACUGGGCGUAAAGGGUGCGUAGGCGGGUCUUUAAGUCAGGGGUGAAAUCCUGGAGCUCAACUCCAGAACUGCCUUUGAUACUGAAGAUCUUGAGUUCGGGAGAGGUGAGUGGAACUGCGAGUGUAGAGGCGAAAUUCGUAGAUAUUCGCAAGAACACCAGUGGCGAAGGCGGCUCACUGGCCCAGAUACUGACGCUGAGGCACGAAAGCGUGGGGAGCAAACAGGG